UGGUGCACGAGCUCACGGGAAAGACGUAUCAAACAAACAAAAAGAACGAGCUUUGCGCUGCACAUCAGAAAACACAGCCCGGCGGAGCAUCCCUCUCCUGGGCUUCCCUCUCGCAGCAAGAGGCCAGGAAAAAGUCCCAGGGAUGGGGACAACCGACGAAGGAGCUGUAACAAGAGACAAGUGCAUAAGAUCAGACCAAUAUUGGAUUCAACAGCCUCCAUUUAGCACCUCACCAUGUUCCACGCUUGCGGUCUCCCAGGACAGAUAUCCCCAAAAGGACUUAGCGAAGCCAGCCACUAUGAAGACAGUAAGUCCGUCUCUGAUUAGCCAUUAGCCCCUGCACCAGUGGGGUUUUAGCGGCCCAGCAGUGCAGCUUCUGUCCUUGUCUCCGUCCUUUCUCUCGACUAAUUGGCACAGAGGGGUAUCUGACAGGGUUGUAGCCUGUGGGAAUAGACAUUGACAUCUGAUCUGAUGCUCACUUAAAAUCAAAAUCAGACUAAACUGCACUGUCGGGCCUUUUGAGCUCCCGUGAGGAUGGAGAUCUUGACAGCAGCGGCUCGAGGUUUGGGACACUGAUGUCAACAUUGCAGACAGCACGUGAAAGAUGAAAGACAAUUUUUCUCGGGUUCACUUUUAAUAGUUGAUAGCAGUGUCCAG